GACGAACGCUGGCGGCACGCUUAACACAUGCAAGUCGAACGAGAGAAGAGAAGCUUGCUUUUCUGAUCUAGUGGCGGACGGGUGAGUAACACGUGAGCAAUCUGCCUUUCAGAGGGGGAUACCGAUUGGAAACGAUCGUUAAUACCGCAUAACAUAAUUGAACCGCAUGAUUUGAUUAUCAAAGAUUUAUCGCUGAAAGAUGAGCUCGCGUCUGAUUGCUAGUUGGUAAGGUAACGGCUUACCAAGGCGACGAUCAGUAGCCGGACUGAGAGGUUGAUCGGCCACAUUGGGACUGAGACACGGCCCAGACUCCUACGGGAGGCAGCAGUGGGGAAUAUUGCACAAUGGAGGAAACUCUGAUGCAGCGAUGCCGCGUGAGGGAAGAAGGUUUUAGGAUUGUAAACCUUUGUCUUCAGGGACGAAAAAAGACGGUACCUGAGGAGGAAGCUCCGGCUAACUACGUG
rnacentral:rRNA from 1 species